UGACUUCGGCCGUACUAGGCGCCUGGUUACCGGGGCUGCCUUCAGCUCUGCAUCUGGCAAAGUGGAGAUUGUUGCCAUCAACGACCCCUUCAUUGACCUCAACUACAUGGUCUACAUGUUCCAAUAUGACUCCACCCAUGGCAAAUUCAACGGCACAGUCAAGGCUGAGAAUGGGAAGCUUGUUAUCAAUGGGAAGCCCAUCACCGUCUUCCAGGAGCGAGAUCCUGCUAAGAUCAAAUGGGGCGAUGCUGGUGCUGAGUAUGUUGUGGAGUCCACUGGUGUCUUCACCACCAUGGAGAAGGCCAGGGCCCACUUGAAGGGUGGAGCCAAAAGGCUCAUCGUCUCCGACCCUUCUGCUGUUGCCCCCAUGUUUGUAAUGGGUGUGAACCACAAGAAAUAUGACAAGUCGAUCAAGAUUGUCAGCAAGGCAUCCUGCAUCACCAACUGCUUACCCCACCUUCCCCCCCCACCCCCCCACCCCCGUGGCCAAGGUCAUCCAUGGCAACUUGAGCAUCAUGGAAGGGCUCAUGACAACAGUCCAUGCCAUCAGUGCCACCCAGAAGACUGUGGAUGGCCUUUCUGGAAACUGUGGCACGAUGGCCGUGGAGCUUCCCAGAACAUCAUCCCUGCAUCCAGUGUUGCUGCCAAGGCUAUGGGCAAGGUCAUCCCAGAGCUGAACAGGAAGCUCACUGGCAUGGCUUUCCGUGUUCCUACCCCCAGGGUAUCCAUUGUGGAUCUGACAUGCUACCUGGAGAAACCUGCCAAGUAUGAUGACAUCAAGAAGGUGGUGAAGCAGGCAUCUGAGGGCCCACUGAAGGGCAUCCUGGGCUACACUGAGGACCAGGUUGUCUCCUGCAACUUCAACAGCAACUCCCACUCUUCCAUCUUUGAUGCUGGGGCUGGCAUUGCUCUCAAUGACGACUUUGUAAAGCUCAUUUCCUGGUAAGACAAUGAAUACAGCUACAGCAACAGGGUCGUGGACCUCAUGGCCUACAUGGCCUCCAAGGAAUAA